AGUCGAACGCUAUUUAUAGAGUGGCGCACGGGUGAGUAACACGUGGGAACCUACCUUUUUCUGCGGGAUAACGGUUGGAAACGAUCGCUAAUACCGCAUACGCCCUACGGGGGAAAGGUCCGCCGGAGAAAGAGGGGCCCGCGUCUGAUUAGCUAGUUGGUGGGGUAAUGGCUUACCAAGGCGACGAUCAGUAGCUGGUCUGAGAGGAUGAUCAGCCACACUGGGACUGAGACACGGCCCAGACUCCUACGGGAGGCAGCAGUGGGGAAUAUUGGACAAUGGGGGCAACCCUGAUCCAGCAAUGCCGCGUGUGUGAUGAAGGCCUUAGGGUUGUAAAGCACUUUCACUGGUGAAGAUGAUGACGGUAACCAGAGAAGAAGCCCCGGCUAACUUCGUGCCAGCAGCCGCGGUAAUACGAAGGGGGCGAGCGUUGUUCGGAAUUACUGGGCGUAAAGGGCGCGUAGGCGGUCUUUUAAGUUAGGCGUGAAAGCCCCCGGGCUCAACCCGGG
rnacentral:rRNA from 1 species